UACGUAGGGUGCAAGCGUUAAUCGGAAUACUGGGCGUAAAGCGUGCGCAGGCGGUGAUGUAAGACAGAUGUGAAAUCCCCGGGCUCAACCUGGGAACUGCAUUUGUGACUGCAUCGCUGGAGUGCGGCAGAGGGGGAUGGAAUUCCGCGUGUAGCAGUGAAAUGCGUAGAUAUGCGGAGGAACACCGAUGGCGAAGGCAAUCCCCUGGGCCUGCACUGACGCUCAUGCACGAAAGCGUGGGGAG
rnacentral:rRNA from 1 species